UAGGGAAUCUUCCACAAUGGACGCAAGUCUGAUGGAGCAACGCCGCGUGAGUGAAGAAGGUUUUCGGACCGUAAAGCUCUGUUGUUGGUGAAGAAGGAUAGAGGUAGUAACUGGCCUUUAUUUGACGGUAAUCAACCAGAAAGUCACGGCUAACUACGUGCCAGCAGCCGCGGUAAUACGUAGGUGGCAAGCGUUGUCCGGAUUUAUUGGGCGUAAAGCGAGCGCAGGCGGAAGAAUAAGUCUGAUGUGAAAGCCCUCGGCUUAACCGUAGGAAUUGCAUCGGAAACU
rnacentral:rRNA from 1 species